UACAGAGGGUGCGAGCGUUAAUCGGAUUUGCUGGGCGUAAAGCGUGCGUAGGCGGCUUUUUAAGUCGGAUGUGAAAUCCCCGAGCUUAACAGGGGAAUUGCAUACGAUACUGGGAAGCUAGAGGAUGGGAGAGGAUGGUAGAAUUCCAGGUGUAGCGGUGAAAUGCGUAGAGCUCUGGAGGAAUACCGAUGGCGAAGGCAGCCAGCUGGCCUAAUACUGACGCUGAGGGACGAAAGCAUGGGGAGCAAACAGG
rnacentral:misc_RNA from 1 species